GCCCGGGUGGCGGAAUGGUAUACGCGCAACACUUAAAAUGUUGUGAGCGCAAGCUCAUGUGGGUUCGACUCCCACCUCGGGCA
rnacentral:tRNA from 1 species